rnacentral:rRNA from 1 species
UGGGGAAUUUUGGACAAUGGGCGAAAGCCUGAUCCAGCAAUGCCGCGUGUGUGAAGAAGGCCUUCGGGUUGUAAAGCACUUUUAUCAGGAGCGAAACGCUGUCGGCUAAUACCCGGCGGAACUGACGGUACCUGAGGAAUAAGCACCGGCUAACUUCGUGCCAGCAGCCGCGGUAAUACGAAGGGUGCAAGCGUUAAUCGGAAUUACUGGGCGUAAAGCGUGCGUAGGCGGUUUCUUAAGUCUGCUGUGAAAUCCCCGGGCUCAACCUGGGAAUGGCAGUGGAUACUGGGAGGCUAGAGUGUGUCAGAGGGUGGUGGAAUUCCCGGUGUAGCGGUGAAAUGCGUAGAGAUCGGGAGGAACAUCAGUGGCGAAGGCGGCCACCUGGGACAACACUGACGCUGAGGCACGAAAGCGUGGGGAGCAAACAGGAUUAGAUACCCUGGUAGUCCACGCCCUAAACGAUGCGAACUGGAUGUUGGUCUCAACUCGGAGAUCAGUGUCGAAGCUAACGCGUUAAGUUCGCCGCCUGGGGAGUACGGUCGCAAGACU